CUUUUUGGUGUUUAGACAUACCAAAAGUGAUGCUCUUCAAUUUAAAAACCGAUAAAGGUUGUAACCAGCUGGUAAUGUUUUGACAGAAAAAUGAACUUCUGUUGUAUAUUUGUAUACAUAAUUGAACAUUUUGAUAAAAUUUGAGAAAAGUACAUAACUUUGUGGUGUUGGGGAAACUUAUUUCCCUCACCAGGAGAUUGUUGCAUACAUGUACGGUUGAUCACUUCCAGACAGAGGUAGUUAUAAUAUCUGUACGGGAAUGAAGAUUAUUUAUAAGACUGAAAUUAUUGUAUUAUUUGCUGGAAAUGUGAAAUAUGAGGAAUUUAAAGCCAUUCGUGAGUAGUUUUUGAUGAUUCAGCUGGACAAAUGCUGGAAAUUAUACAGUUUUCUCCCACCUUAAAACAGACUCAGUACAUGGUAUAUCAUGGACACCAAAAGCAAACUAUAAAGAUCUAAAUGCCAUAAUUUUGUGCAUCUUGAAAACUGGAAAGGCGGAUCACUUUGAAGCAGAUGCUAGUGAUAGUGUUUAAAAGAAUUCUUUGUGACAGUUAUACCAGUUGGAACAGAUAAAAGAUACAUCAGAUGACAGACUUACAUAUAGAGAGGAGCCUAUAAUUAGAGAAAUGGAUCAACUUGAUUUUGAAGUUAACCUACUGCAUUAAUAUGAAAAUUCAUAAGUGACUGAGCUUAAAGAAAAUCACACAAGAAACUGUAACCAGUUUUGGAGACUCGUACAACA